rnacentral:lncRNA from 1 species
CUAGUGGACGAGUGUUGUCUCGUGAGGGUUUGCAGUGAAGUUACCCACAAACUUCAAUCCCAAAAUAAAAUUUGGUUUGUGAAAUGAAAGUCUUAUUUCAAGUACAUAACUGAUAAGAAUUUCAAAAGCACACAAGGUUUUAAUUACUAAGUAGCCCAAUUUCUAGGUUAGUAUGCAAUUUGAGUUGAAGUCAUUAAGUUUUCCAUUAGGAAGUUGUAAGACUUAUUUAUACUUGAGUGCUCAGUGAAGUUUGGACCAUGCACAAGCUAAGGUUUUGGAUCUCCAAAAUAUCGCUAAUAUUAGUAGUUUCCAAGAAUUGGUUGGACAAGACCUAUUUGCUGAUUCAAAAUCAUCUUUUCUGCAGGAUUUCGAGAGCUGUGGAUGUUUACUUUAAUACCUCAUGGGCUUU